UAAGGACGCUGCCCACAGGUGUUCUCACAGGUAUACUGAAAGUGUGUAAACAAAGUAUUGAGAACCAAGGGUAUCUCGUGCUAUUCACAACGUUUUGGUGGGCGUGCGUGUCGGCGUGAGGUCCAGCGCGGUCGAGUUCCCCCGCCAUGGCUUGUUCGCUGAGGAAUAUCAUCAACUUCGGCCUCCUGCUCGCCGUCAUCGACCUGCUGCACGGGAUAGCCACCUGCGCCUUCUACGGCUAUGAGCUGGCCGUCCACUACCGGUGCCACUGGAACCACGGCAUCCGCUGGUGCCAGUACUACCUCUACCACACAGACCACAGCGUGCGCGUGAACAUCGGCAUCGCUGAGGGCGUCGGAUGCCUUCUUCCUCCACCAUCCUCAUCAUCAUCGGACUCUGCAAGUACAAACCCAUCGUGACCUGGAUGUGGCUGCUCAAACCCAUCGCCGUCAUCAUCAUCAACGUGUUCUUCCUGAGCCGCUGGCUGGUGCAGAAGUCCCGCUACUACCACAGCUUCUGGGACCGACACAACUACGACCAGGACAACGUGUUCAUCUUCGCGGGUCUGGGCCUCACCCUCGUGCAGUUCUUCGUGAUGCUGUUCUUCUUCUGCAUCAACGGCUCCUUCACCUACAAGAUCCGCAAGCAGCGCGUUCCCACCAUGGAGACCGACAUAUGAACCGGGGUGUAUAAUCUCACCACCAUGGAAACACGCAUUAAGUGAGGCACUGCAUGGUGACCCGCAUGUGAACCAUCCCCAUUACUGGAAGGAAAAACAACAAUACCAUCAACAACAACAAACGCGCUAGGUGCCCUACUUCACGGGGACCAACGCAGUCUAUUUAUAAGGGAAAUCGCCAUGGAAGAGGAGGCGCCCCGGGGGGAUCUGCACGAGAGGAAUCGUCAGAAGAAGAGGGAGGAAGAGGGUCGACCUCCUUGGACCUCAGACGGAUCCUCUCCCCGCGCCUUUUCUCAGAUGAAAGUGAUUGUUGCAUUGUGGGAUGAACGCAUGACCCAUUCUUACUCGUAUGUCGUCCCGUGCCCACUUGACGUGAUUUAUAAACCCACCACCACAGCGGAAAUCAGAAUGUGAGUUACUCAAUGUGUGUUCUCUGCCCACCGCCAUGGAGGUUAGAUUGAAAGAUACACGCCCAUCUUUAGAGAGCAGCUCAAGAGGCAGCUGUCUGCUCGAGGCCUCCUGUAUACAGUUUUACAUGUAGUAUAUUUGCGAAGGAAAUUUGUGGUCAUUUCCACUUCUUUUUGGAAUGUUUUCAUUGUACAGAUUUUUUUUUAUGUUCGCUCUCUGGAGUUUACUGAAUGCUUUAACAGAAUCUCUGACAGUCUGAUCAUAUCUACAAAGUUAAAUUAGCUAUGAAAUGAGGGCGACUAUACAAUUUACCUUUAUCCGGUAUUUUAAUUAUUGAAAUGUAUAACAAUGCAUUUAGAUUCUGAACGUUAUUAUAUAUUUCUCGGUGAUGUGAACGAUUUUUUUUAUUGUGAUGAAACUAAUGCAUUAUACAUGUUGCUCCCAGUGUUUGUUAGACAGAGAGACACAAUGCAUUAUAUAUGUGUCUCUCUGCAUCACCGUAGCAUAGUGUUCAAUGUGCCAAAGCAAAGGAACUGCCAAGAGAGUGCCAGUGUGCCACUUAAAGGUUGUAGCACAAUAAAAGGAAGAAUGGAAAAGAGAAAAAAAUAUAAACAGGUCAUUGAGUUAGGAAUUUCUGUGUAGGUAGAGGUUGGUGAUUGUCUUCCCUAAAACCAAUAUAGAUUUAAAAGAUUGUUAUCGUCCAGAGGGUAUGUGUAUGUAUAAUACAAACAACACACACACAACACACACACACACACACACACACACACACACACACACACACACACACACACACACACACACACACACACACACACACACACACACACACACACACACACACACAUACAAUUACGAUUCUAACAUUUCAACAGACUUGCCCCAUGUAGUAUAAGGGUUGAAUUGUCACAAAGAGGGCGUCACGUGUUAGGUGAUUCCAGUGCUUUAAAUUGUGUCUUAUGGGCGUCCAGUGUGCGAAGGCCUGUCAUGAGUUCCUCUUUCUUAUUUUGACUUCUUGUUUCGAGAAGGGAGAACCCAUAAAAAAAAGAAUGUAAGAAGAAUCUAUAAGUUCUGCCGCCUUUCCCUACUUUUUAAUGGAAUUGACCACUUACUGAAUAAAGAGAAAGAUUUUGAAGUUUAUUUUCGAAUUAUGCAUGAAGUUAAAUGUUAAGGAGUAUUUUUAUGUCUUGGAGUUUUAUUGGAUUUUUAUACUUCAGUAAAACUGUGUUUGAAUACUUCAUUUUAAGGUGGGUAAUAAAUUGCAGAUUUUAUAAUCACGUAUGUUUUUAGGUAUGAGCGAUCAUUAUGCUGUUUUAUAUAUGUGUGUGUGUGUGUGUGUGUGUGUGUGUGUGUGUGUGUGUGUGUGUGUGUGUGUGUGUGUGUGUGUGUGUGUGUGUGUGUGUCUGUCUGUGUUUGUGUCUCAACAAGCUAACAUUUCUUGCUUUCAUCUGCUUCUUAAAUCGAAACCUCGAUAUUUUUUCACCAAAUAAUGACGCCAAAAUAUAUUUUAAAAAUGUUAGGCUGCAGAAGAGAGAUUCACAACAAGGAUGAAACAAACUUUCAUUGAUCUCAUCUUGUCCUUUCCCUCUGUACCAAUCGCAUUCACAUUCAACCGGUGUAAUCAACAUAUAAAUAGCUUAUCAACCCUUAGAGUCGACAUUUUAUCAUGAGCCACAGUCCCUGGAAUUCGAGGUCUUGCCCAACCGAUGCCCUUAGUCAAACCCCUUUCGACACCCGAAGCCUCAAAGACCCCUCAGUCUAUUUUCAGCUCUCCAUAAAGACC